UAUGGCCAUACCGCCCUGAACAUGUCUAGCCUAAUCUCAUCUGGUCUCGAAAGCUAAGCAAGGUUUGGGCCUGGUUAGUACUGGGAUGGGAGAGAGAGAGAAUAUGGGCAUGCCAGGA
rnacentral:rRNA from 1 species